rnacentral:miRNA from 1 species
CUUGGUUUCAAGGAACCCUAA